UGAUGACGCAGUCAGCGUUUGGCCCCCAGGGGAUGCCCCGUGCGGGGCUUGACCUCCUGAAGGCCCCGACGCGCUCAGGUGCACCGAGGAGGGACGGCAGGUGCGGCUGAUCAGGGCCACGGGACCCGCCGGCCUCUGCUGCGCAGCGGCGUGGGCAUGAGUGGGGCAGCGGCGGCGGGCGCUUCCCGAGGCUCCCGGGCCACGCGCGGCAACCGCCGGACGGCGAUGGAGCGGGGCGAGCAGAACGCUGAGUUGAGCUCCUCUGAGGAUGAGAGCCCCCCUCGAGUGCCAAAGAGGCCACCCUGGAAGAUGCCCAUCAAGUACAGCACCCCUGAGGGAGAGGAGGCAGCCCCGUACUGGAGCCCAAGGCCUGGAGGCCGGGCCUCCUACCUGCAAGAGUCCCCAGUGUCUGCGCUCUCUGCCCAGGACCUUGGGCCCCACCAAGCAGGGCUCAGCCCUAGGGCCACCUUCAGGAGGAGGAGGCUUUCCACCAUCUACGCCUUGGAGGAGGGCCCCAGCGUGCAGCCAGGGACCUGCUCAGACCCCUCAUCCCUCGGGGACAACUCACCAGAGCCCGCCUCGUUGGCCAAGCCACAGCAGAAGGCAGAGGACCUGCAAGGAAAUCGCUGGCCACGCAAUGCAGGUCUGCCUGGGGUGCCAGACACCUCCAAGAGGAAGAGACGGGACCCGAAGGAGCGGGCAGCCGUGAUGCUGCGGGUGAGACAGUGGGAGGCCCGUCUGCUGCAGGACAUCGAGGCAGCUGUGCACCAUGAGCUCACCAUCCAGGCCGAGGGGUUGCCUAGCAUGGGCAUGGUCCAGGUCCAGUUCGAUGCCCAGGAGCCCACCACCUCGGACUGACUUAACUGUCCACACCCACCGCACCAUCCACACCCAUUGCCCUGCGGUCCCUGGAUGACUGCGUGUUUACCCUGUCGGAGUCUAUGCAGUCAUCCGCAGGCUCUCCCCUUGAGCUGAUGAUUAGGAUGCAAUUCUCUGGAACAUUUCACAGAUGAGAUGGAGAACAGUGUGUAUGCGCUGCCCACAGGAAGAUGCCCGGGAAGCCAGCUGCAGAAGGAAGGGGCGCUACCACCCAAGUGCCCAGACGCAGGCAGAACGCAGUCCCUGUUCAUCCUUCUAAGACUUUCUGGGAGAGGUGGCUGUGAGGAACCCGGAACAGGGAAGCGGGGCAUUCCCAGAGCCGGACGCACGGGAUGUGUGUGUGGCAUGUGGGGUUGGACAAACAGCAGGAUUCCUCAGUGAAGGCUUUCAUGAGCACCUGGUAAGGCUGGUGCUUGGGAGGGGCUCGCUUAGGGAAAAGCACAGGUGUAACUUACACCAUUGCUUGGCAUAGAAAUGAGUCCCUCAGUCCUCACAGUGUGUGCAGACCCUCACGGUCUGCACAAGACGCAGUCAGAAAACCCUCUGAGGGAAGGAAAUGCAUUAAGUACCUGCUUUUCCUUGGUAGUUUUCCUCCCGUUGAAAAUGCCCGGAACUCUGAGAAGCUGCUGCCUCUAACCUUUCUUGACAUCUGAACAUCAUAUUUGCACCUGCUGCCUAUGCCCCACUGCCCCUUUGUAGGCAGGUCCAGAGAACCAGCACAUGGCACUGCCGUGCUCUGCCAGAUGACCUGCCGGGGGUGUGGAUUUAAACCACCGCCAGCGAUGCACGGAUAGUUGGUGUAUUUGUUUUCUGGAA